rnacentral:rRNA from 1 species
UGCCAGCCGCCGCGGUAAUACGGAAGGUGCGAGCGUUAAUCGGAAUUACUGGGCGUAAAGCGCACGUAGGUGGCUUGGUAAGUCAGCUGUGAAAGCCCCCGGCCCAACCGGGGAACUGCGGCUGAUACUGAUAGACUUGAGACUCGGAGAGGUGCAUGGAAUUCCUGGUGGAGCGGUGAAAUGCGUUGAUAUCAGGAGGAACACCGGAGGCGAAGGCGAUGCACUGGCCGAGUACUGACGCUGAGGCGCGAAAGCUAGGGGAGCGAACGGGAUUAGAUA